CUACGGGUUGCUGCAGUGAGGAAUAUUGCACAAUGGAGGAAACUCUGAUGCAGCAACGCCGCGUGGAGGAUGACGCAUUUCGGUGUGUAAACUCCUUUUAUAUGUCAAGAAAAUGACGGUAGCAUAUGAAUAAGCACCGGCUAACUCCGUGCCAGCAGCCGCGGUAAUACGGAGGGUGCAAGCGUUACUCGGAAUCACUGGGCGUAAAGGACGCGUAGGCGGGAUAUCAAGUCAGGUGUGAAAUCCUACAGCUUAACUGUAGAACUGCACUUGAAACUGGUAACCAAGAGUAUGGGAGGGGGAGAUGGAAUUAGUGGUGUAGGGGUAAAAUCCGUAGAUAUCACUAGGAAUACCUAAAGCGAAGGCGAUCUCCUGGAACAUAACUGACGCUAAGGCGUGAAAGCGUGGGGAGCAAACAGGAUUAGAUACCCCUGUAGUC
rnacentral:rRNA from 1 species